rnacentral:lncRNA from 1 species
UUUACAAUUAAUAGACUGUUUUACUACUGUGAAUCCUUUGAGAUUCAAUCAACUCCUCUUAUUUGACGCAUGGUAACUACUACUCUAUCUGAGAGUACAAUAACAUCAGCCGGUUUCUCUACCACGAUAACAAGAUGGGUAUGCUCCACAAUAACAUCAGCCGGUUUCUCUACCACGAAAUUAUUCAAAAUUAGAUUUCUACUGCAAAAACAAGAUAGGAGUACAAAAGAGCAGCAUUAAUUAAUGCAUAACAAAUUAAGUCCCAAUAUCCAUACGUAUGUUACAAUGGAUAUAUAUGGGUAAAGAGAGAAAACAAGGAUAAAAGCAUUAGACUUGGUCUGAGAGCAGACUAUUAGACCAUCGAUCUCGAGCCAUUUCCCUAAAAUUUGACUCCUCAAACGACCCAACAAAACAUAACUCAUCAAGUUUGAUGUGUGCACAACAACUUCUGGCCAGUAGAUGACAUUGCAAAAGUA